UACGAGGGGUCCUAGCGUUGUUCGGAAUUAUUGGGCGUAAAGCGCACGUAGGUGGCUUAGCAAGUCAGAUGUGAAAUCCCGGGGCUCAACCCCGGACGUGCAUUUGAAACUGCUGAGCUUGAGUACGGGAGAGGGUAGUAGAAUUCCUGGUGUAGUGGUGAAAUACGUAGAUAUCAGGAGGAACACCGGUGGCGAAGGCGGCUACCUGGCCCAGUACUGACAUUGAGGUGCGAAAGCGUGGGGAUCAAACAGG
rnacentral:rRNA from 1 species